rnacentral:rRNA from 1 species
AGAGAAUAGAUACCCGGGUAGUCCAUGCUGUAAACGAUGGAUGCUAGCUGUGAUGCGUAUCGACCCGCGUCGUAGCGAAGCUAACGCGUUAAGCAUCCCGCCUGUGGAGUACGGCCGCAAGGCUAAAACAUAAAGGAAUUGACGGGGACCCGCACAAGCGGUGGAGCGUGUUGUUUAAUUCGAUGGUAAGCGAAGAACCUUACCCAGGUUUGACAUCCUUGGAAGUUCUGCGAAAGCAGAGUGUGCCUUCGGGAACCAAGUGACAGGUGAUGCAUGGCCGUCUUCAGCUCGUGUCGUGAGACGUUAGGUUAAGUCCUUCAACGAGCGCAACCCUUAUAGUUAGUUGUAUUUUCUAGCUAGACUGCCCUGGUAACAGGGAGGAAGGAGGGGACGAUGUCAGGUCAGUAUCUCCCUUAUAUCU